UUUGAAACUAUGUAAAUUCCUUUCCUUUGGAACAACAACCCCAACACUUAAAAAGAGAAAAAAGAAGAAAAGAUUGCUGGAUAAAUUCAUAGCUGAAGGAGAACAAUAAGAACAAAGUAAUUUGUCUCCCACCAUCUACAUCAGCGAUAGAGAACAUGUGGCCCUUCAGAUAUUGGUGGACUUCCCUGAAGAAAGACUUCUGGAGAGAAAACAGCAGUUUCAGAAGGGGGAGUCUAGCGUGGGCGACGGCUGAGCAACAGCGACAUCUUUCAAACAGUAACGGCUAUUGUCAAACCAAGUAUUAUUAAAUAACCAGCCUGAAAGUAAAUAUUCCUUCAGGGAGGAAGAGCAGGAC
rnacentral:lncRNA from 1 species